GGGAGAGUGAAGACUAGCCGAAAAGAUAUAAAACGCUCCGUUUUUUUCUCCUCUCUUGAUGUCUCUUCUCCUUCUCUACACACACUCUCCCUCUCCAAUCGUUCCCUGUAGAAAGACCAACGAACGAGAAUUCCAAAGACGAACGUAGAGCUCCCUCCGGAAAUCUAAACUCCCCUUUUUGAGCGUGCGUAACACUCGCUAAUCUCUCUUAAUUGAAAUUUUAUUUAAAAUUCUGCAACUCCUGGGCCUCUCGAUCCCCAUUUGUUGGUGCCUUCCCAUCAGAGGACACAGCACUGAGAAACACUGCACCUUCAAAACGCGCCGUUUUGCCUCGGAAUUCAACUCCAUUGGAGAGGAAUGCAUUUGGAUUUUUGCUGGCAUGGCUUUCAAAAGUAUAGAAGAGAGCUGAAAGUUUCUCUGGACUAUCCAUCUGGUUAAUUUGUUUGGCACAUUACAAAUGGUUACAUCUCAUUUUCGAUUUUCCAGUUGUUGGUGAUUUGUUACAAUUCGUUACUUUGAUACUUGUUUAUUACUCCAUUUUCUUCUAAUUAGCUGGCUGAACUGAAUUUUCCUUGUGGAGUAUUGGUUUUAGAGUUUUUGUUUGUUGCCUUGCUAUAUGAGCGUUUGCUGUUAUUCUGCAUGAUUGUAUAACUGGUUGACGUAGGAACACAUUGGUUUAAGAUUUUGGACAAUGACAUUUAAGAUCAGUCUUCUGGUGGGCUUGUAAAUCUCAACUCUUGUUGAACUUAUAUGGAGCUGCUUGGAUGGUUGGCUGUCACUCAACUGUCUGUAUGGUACAGUAAUACAACUUAUGUUCCAAAAUACAGUUGAGGGGAAUUAAAAGGAGUAGGAACCUGUAUUCACUCUGUUUUUGUUUGACAUUCAAGUUUUUACCACCUCAGUUUUUUCAGAAGUACAAUUCAGAUGGUUGUUGGUUUAGCUAAUCUUGCCUUUUUAGGUUGAAUCUUCCCACACCAUAGAAUAUGGCUUGACUAUAGGGGCUAUGAAACUAAAACAGAAUUUUCUUCUCCCCAAGUUCUAUGCAGGAAUAGGAUGACUUCUAUGGUCCACCAAAGAGUAGGAUUUUGCUGCAAACUUCAUUUGCUCAGUGUCAAUGGAAAUAAAUUGACAGCACAUGUUGGAAGUUUCCAGAGCUCGUGAACUCUUGCUUGCGCAUGUUGUUGCAGUUGACUAGCAUUGUGUAACUAAUCUAGAUUGGAAUAUGGAACUACCAUUUACUUGUGAUUGAGGCAUUUUGACUUUUAAGAUGUCAGCAUAAGGUAUGAUGGUUUUCUCAAAUGAUGAAUGAUUGUUUGUUAGAGAAUGUAUAGGUUGAACAAACAGGUUAGGAAGGUAUUCUUUUAGCAUGUUUAACCUUGUAAAAUUAGUUCACUCUCUAUCCAGCCUGAUGAUGUCCGCUAUUCUUUUGGUGUCUUUUAUGCAUCCAAAUUUGAGGACAUUCUUUAUUUUAAGGAUAGAUUGGGAUCCCCAUAUAUAUAUACCUUGAUCCUUUGGUUGCAUACUUUAAUGACCUGAAUCACCUGAGGUGAUACUACUCUUUUUUUUUUUUUAAUGUGUAGUUCUGUUUGUUUCAGAAUGGCUUAUGGUUGAUGGUUUUCAUACAUUUAUUUGUUUGUUUAGGUUCUAUUUGAAAUUGAUUUACAUCAAUUACUCUUGUAUUAUUUGCCAGCCUUCUUUGUUACAGGUAAUAUGGCUCUGCAGAAGUACAUUCCUUCGGGUGAUGCCCCUUCUGUUGGCAUGAAGCAUUCAAAUUUUUUUAGUAAGGUGCAUGAGAAUGCUCAACAUGCGGAUCUGGAGACAAAAGUGAAGCCUGAUGUGGAUAUUGACCUCAGAGAAGUUUACUUCUUAAUUAUGCAUUUUCUUUCAGCUGGGCCAUGUCGCAGAACAUGCGUACAAAUUUGGAAUGAACUUCUUGAACAUCAGCUUUUACCUAGAAGAUAUCAUGCUUGGUAUUCAAGGAGUGGGGCACGUAAUGGGGAUGAAAAUGAUGAUGGCUUAUCCUUCCCAUUAAAUUACACUAAGUUGGUUGAGAGGUAUCCUCACAUUGAGAAUGAUCACUUGGUAAAGCUUUUGAAGCAGUUAUUACAUAAUGCAGCCUCCUCACCACAGGGCUUGAUUGGUGCUCCAAAUGCUGCUGAUGUUCCUACGCUUUUGGGAACAGGCUUAUUUUCACUUUUGAGCUAUGAUAGAGAUAAGGGACAAACUCACAUCAAGCAUCCCCCUACCCAUAUGCGAUGGCCUCAUAU
rnacentral:misc_RNA from 1 species